CUGGCGGCGUGCCUAAUACAUGCAAGUCGAACGGUCUUUUCUAUGGAAGCUUGCUUCCACUGAGAAGAUAGUGGCGAACGGGUGAGUAACACGUGGGUAACCUGCCCAUAAGAGGGGGGAUAACAUCCGGAAACGGGUGCUAAUACCGCAUAGUUUUCUUGAUCGCAUGAUUGGGAAAGGAAAGACGGCCUUUGUGCUGUCGCUUAUGGAUGGACCCGCGGCGUAUUAGUUAGUUGGUGAGGUAACGGCUCACCAAGACGAUGAUACGUAGCCGACCUGAGAGGGUGAUCGGCCACAUUGGGACUGAGACACGGCCCAAACUCCUACGGGAGGCAGCAGUAGGGAAUCUUCCGCAAUGGACGAAGGUCUGACGGAGCAACGCCGCGUGAGUGAAGAAAAGGUUUUCGGAUCGUAAAACUCUGUUGUCAGAGAAGAACAAGUUGGAGAGUAACUGCUCCAGCCUUGACGGUAUCUGACCAGAAAGCCACGGCUAACUACGUGCCAGCAGCGGC
rnacentral:rRNA from 1 species